rnacentral:rRNA from 1 species
GACGAACGCUGGCGGCGUGCUUAACACAUGCAAGUCGAACGGAAAGGCCCUGCUUGCAGGGUGCUCGAGUGGCGAACGGGUGAGUAACACGUGGGUGAUCUGCCCCUUACUUUGGGAUAAGCCUGGGAAACUGGGUCUAAUACUGGAUAGGACCAUGCCGUAGGUGGUGUGGUGGAAAGAUUAGUUUCGGUAAGGGAUGAGCUCGCGGCCUAUCAGCUUGUUGGUGGGGUAAUGGCCUACCAAGGCGUCGACGGGUAGCCGGCCUGAGAGGGUGGACGGCCACAUUGGGACUGAGAUACGGCCCAGACUCCUACGGGAGGCAGCAGUGGGGAAUAUUGCACAAUGGGCGCAAGCCUGAUGCAGCGACGCCGCGUGGGGGAUGACGGCCUUCGGGUUGUAAACUCCUUUCAGCCAUGACGAAGCCCUUGUGGUGACGGUAGUGGUAGAAGAAGCACCGGCUAACUACGUG